GCGCGGGCGUUUAGCUGCUGAAAAUGAAGGGUGAAGCCCGGGUUUAACACACGGCCGCUUUUCCAUCAUCCCGCUGAAAUGACGGUGGUGGAUGCUCGGAACCGUUUUACGCUCGAAGAAACAGUAGAAGCAGAGGUGGUGUUAUCUUUGGCCCCGAUUGUCGGACCUCGGCAUGAGGACCAGUCAUUAUCCUCCUCCGGACAAAUGGGUACAAGCCGGACUUCGUGUUCCCAAGCAUAGACACGUCUGGAUUGUUACACUCCUGACAGCGAGACCCCAAGCGACGCUGAGGCGGCGGUCGCUGAUCUAUCUGGCGGAGCUGGCGGAAGUGGACGGGAAUCUGAGAAAGCAAUUAACCUCGAGGCAAACUUCCGUAGUGCCGACAUGGGACACGGUGACCGUGGGGUUCGGACACAAAGAUCCACCCGCUGCUCCCGUGGAGGCAUCUUAUACAUUGCGUGUGGGGUCCAGAGUGUUGCUUUUCCACAGAACAGAGCUAUUAUCACCUGCCGUGAGACCACGUCCACUUGCCGUGCUGUCACUCAAACCCGCUUGCUGUCUCACUUUGGUUAAAUUAAGCUGCGAUGUUGCUGACAUCAGUAAGGAUGAAAAACAAG